UACGGAGGAUCCAAGCGUUAUCCGGAUUCAUUGGGUUUAAAGGGUGCGUAGGCGGACUAGUAAGUCAGUGGUGAAAUCCUGUCGCUUAACGACAGAACUGCCAUUGAUACUGCUAAUCUUGAGUACAUUUGAAGUGGGCGGAAUGUGUAGUGUAGUGGUGAAAUACUUAGAUAUUACACAGAACACCGAUUGCGAAGGCAGCUCACUAAACUGUAACUGACGCUGAGGCACGAAAGCGUGGGGAUCAAACAGG
rnacentral:rRNA from 1 species